rnacentral:rRNA from 1 species
UUUAACGGCCGCGGUAUCCUAACCGUGCAAAGGUAGCGCAAUCACUUGUCUUUUAAAUAAGGACCCGUAUGAAUGGCAUAACGAGGGCUUAGCUGUCUCCUUUUUCCAGUCAAUGAAAUUGAUCCUCCCGUGCAGAAGCGGGAAUGACAACAUAAGACGAGAAGACCCUGUGGAGCUUUAGAUAAUGGACUGAUCAGAUAAAAUACCUAAAAUGAGCCAAACUCUGAAUACAGUCCUCAUCUUUGGUUGGGGCGACCGCGGAGAAAUAAAAAUCCUCCAUGUGGACUAAGUGAAUACUACUAAAACCAAGAAAUACAACUCAAAGUAACAGGACCCCUGACUUAAAUGACCCGGCAAGCCGAUCAACGAACCAAGUUACCCCAGGGAUAACAGCGCAAUCCUCUUCUAGAGUCCCUAUCGACAAGAGGGUUUACGACCUCGAUGUUGGAUCAGGACAUCCUAAUGGUGCAGCCGCUAUUAAGGGUUCGUUUGUUCAACGAUUAAAGUCCU